AGAGAAGGAUUUCUUUCCAUCUGACAGAGUGAGCUUACCUUCACUUCUUCUCCAUCUUGAAGCCAAAAUUCAAAUUUAUGCUCGAACGAAAAGCCAAGACUCCAGAUUACGGGUUUGAUCUUCAAUACUUAAUCUGUAAUGUCCUUUAAGGAUACUAAAUUUGAUGAAAACGAAGAUGAUCACACAUCUCACAGUGAUUAUCUCAAGCAAACGGAAAAGUGGUUCUGAAUCUGGCAUUGCUCCACCUGUCGGUGCUGUGCUACCUGGUGCUGUUGUGACAGGAAAUAUUCACCUCAGAUAGACCAAUGCUUUAUGAAUUGUAGGAUGAACGCUAUGAGGUUUUUCUGUACUGAUUCCACGAAGUACGUGGUGCUAUUUUGUUGCAAGUUUAGUUCAUUGAGUGGAGCUUUGAUGACAAUUUGUUUUAAAAGCUCUACUGAAUUCGAACAAUACGAGUUUCUUUUUUUUUUUUUUGAAAUCUUCAUACAUGCAGCUGCAUUGCGGGCCUAACAUGCUAAUUAUUAUGAAUUGGAGAGACAUGAUAUAAUAUUUAGUAAGAUACCUUGUUCAUGGUGUUUCAUGACUGGUCGCAAUCAAGGUGGAGAAUGUCUUAUUUUGAAUGUUUCUUUAUACGACUCUUAACAAUAUUUAUGGUGAUUUCCUUCAAAAUAUUUGGAGCAAGUUAAGUUUUCUUA